AGUCACAAGACGAGUGAGAUUGCUGGAGUGAUGUCUGGAGCAGACUGAAGAGGUCAGAUCUAGGUCAGAUCUUGUCACAGCAGAUGCCAGGAAAGAGAUUUCAGUGGACACUGCCUAAAGGGUACACAAUGAUGACACCAAGAAGUGGCCUCCCUUCGGAAAUUCCUGCUUCCAUGGAAGAAAUUCAGAAGGCAAUCGCAGAUCAGUUUAUUUCCUGUACGAAGAGAGACUUCGUGGACGUAGCCAAAGAACAAAAGAAUAAGAAAAGUCCUCAGGUGUCCCUGGAGUGGAAAAAGUUCCUUCCCCGGCCUCUAGACACUGAAUUUCGACGGAAUUACCAAAUUCCAGUUAAAAUUCCUGAGUUGCAGGACUUUACUUUCCGAUAUGGAUGCUACUCAAGCCUGCGAAUUCCUUCUCGGGGUCUGGUUCCCUCUGUGCUGCACAGUUACAUGAGGAAUCAAGAACGGACGAAGCAGCAGACCAUGUACCAAAGUGAAUACGGGAAAGCCUACCUGGACUUCCUAACGAUCCUGAACUCCUUUACUCCUGCUCAAAUCGAUGAGUACCUUCAGAGUGUUUCCGACAAAGGUAAGAUGAAGUCUUAAGGUGGCAUCUCACACAUUUAC
rnacentral:lncRNA from 1 species